ensembl:misc_RNA 7SK 7SK RNA
GGAUGUGAGGGCGAUCUGGCUGCGACAUCUGUCACCCCAUUGAUCGCCAGGGUUGAUUCGGCUGAUCUGGCUGGCUAGGCGGGUGUCCCCUUCCUCCCUCACCGCUCCAUGUGCGUCCCUCCCGAAGCUGCGCGCUCGGUGGAAGAGGACGACCAUCCCAGAUAGAAGGAGUGUACCGUUCUUCGGUCAAGGGUAUACGAUAGCUGCGCUCCCCUGCUAGAACCUCCACACAAGCUCAAGGUCCAUUUGUAGGAGAACGUAGGGUAGUCAAGCUUCCAAGACUCCAGACACAUCCAAGUAAGGCGCUGCACGUGGCAGUUUGCCAUUCUUU